rnacentral:misc_RNA from 1 species
UCGAGUUAGGGUCUUCUAGGCCCGACCUCCCAACCCUUUGUUUAUCAGACCUCUGUUGCUUCGGCGGACCCGUCUUGAUUGACCGCCGGAGGACCGCCCCCGCGGCGCCCUCUGGCCAGUGUCUGCCGGUGGCCUAAUUUCUCCAACUCUAGUUAAACAUGAUGUUAUGUCUAAGUGAUUUAUCAAAUCAAAAGCAA